rnacentral:rRNA from 1 species
ACCAGCAGCCAUAUCACCCUGCAACUCACAACUGGCAACCCACUGAAGCUAAGCAGGUGUGAGCCUGGUCAGUACAUGGAUGGGAGACCUCCUGGGAAAAACUUGGGUAUCUGCUGGAA